rnacentral:rRNA from 1 species
AGAGUUUGAUCCUGGCUCAGGAUGAACGCUGGCGCGUGCCUAACAACAUGCAAGUCGAACGGGGUCUUAGUGCGGAAGUUUUCGGAUGGAAGGAGUUAAGACUUAGUGGCGGACGGGUGAGUAACGCGUGGGUAACCUGCCCUGUACAGGGGGAGUAACAGUUGGAAACGGCUGCUAAAACCGCAUAACAUGGAGAUACCGCAUGAUAUUUCCAUCAAAUAUUUAUAGGUACAGGAUGGGCCCGCGUCUGAUUAGCCAGUUGGCAGGGUAAUGGCCUACCAAAGCGACGAUCAGUAGCCGGCUUGAGAGAGUGACCGGCCACAUUGGGACUGAGACACGGCCCAAACUCCUACGGGAGGCAGCAGUGGGGAAUAUUGGGCAAUGGGCGCAAGCCUGACCCAGCAACGCCGCGUGAAGGAAGAAGGCUUUCGGGUUGUAAACUUCUUUUGUCAGGGAAGAGCAGAAGACGGUACCUGACGAAUAAGCCACGGCUAACUACGUG